rnacentral:misc_RNA from 1 species
GAAACGCGAUAGGUAAUGUGAAUUGCAGAAUUCCGUGAAUCAUCGAAUCUUUGAACGCACAUUGCGCCUUCUGGUAUUCCGGUAGGCAUGCCUGUCUGAGCGUCAGCAAAACACUCUCAGCUGAAUUUUUGUUAUUCGUGCUGGUCUUGGGAAGUGGAUGCCGGUGGGGGUACAUAUUUCCACCUGCGCCCUCCCUAAACUUGCUGCACGACCGCAAGCCCCUUCUAGACAGGUCAAUGGAGUGGUGUUACAAUCUUCCAGAAAGCCUGCUGGUAACUGCUUUGCGGCGUUAAACGUGAUGUCUCUCUUACGAGACUUGAAGUUUUGACCUCAGAUCAGACAAGGAUACCCGCUGAACUUAA